UCCCCCGAUCGUCCCGCUUCAGCCGCCCCUUCAUCGCGGUGUCGUCGUUACGAAAGCUGUAGCGAUAUGUAUGCCUUGAAUACGCGUGAGAAACACACACACAAUCUUGCCUGUCGUGAUACAAUUAUCGUUCAUUAAGAGUUAAUUAAUUGUUAAUUAUAAUGAUCAUGACAUAUUAUGUUCCGAUAUUUGUCGCAAUCACGUGUAGAAGAGAAAUUUAGCAAUAUACGGAACGUCUCGCAUUUUUUUUGUUUGGAAUUUUUUCAAAUUGUGGUUUGUUAAACAUGACGUACAGAAAUAAAUGACACGCAUGUAGCGCGCGCUUUGUAAUAUGUAUUCUAAUAUACUUAGAAAAAUUUUAGAAAUUUUUGGUAUGGCGAUUCUUGGAAUUUUAGUCCAUGCCACUUCAUUCUAUUUUCCUGAUACUUUUCCAAUUUUCAAGAAUUUAUUUUUUAGCGAAUUGAUAAAUAGUGAUAUCGGUGUAAAUCUUAAUUAUCAAUGGUUGAUAAUUAUCAGAGAUUUAAAACUUAAUUAUUACAAAGCAGUUCCCUCUAUAUAGGACUAAAGGAAGAUGUAUUUAAAUUUUGUGAUUUUACGAGAUGAAAGUUUUAUCCUCGACGCAUUUAUCUCUAUCGCGUAUUCACGUUUAUAUAUCAUAUAUAUAUAUAUAUUCACGCGGUUCAUUAUUCUCUUAUCCCAAGUUAUUUUCGUAUAGCUCCCUGUGCUGAGGGGAUCGGUUUACCUUGCCGUGUACAAGCGCGCGUCCGCGCGAUGUGUAUCUACAGGUAUACUCGGCCCGGAUUAUCUCUUAUCACCUGCCUGCCAGGAGGGAGGGAUAUGAAGCUUUUGGGGUAUGACUGUUGUCAUGGUUACAGAGCAUACACCGAGCUAUCCACUGAUAAGCGGAUCAGGUGAGACAUCAUUCUAAGGCGACGAUUCAACGUGUGUUAUUGCUCCAAAUGCAGCAAUAGCGUAAUCGUGUUAUUUUGGGCAUAAAUUGUGUUAUUUAUUCUUUAUAUAUGUAACGAACAAUUGUAUAUCUUUUUAUUAAAUAGUAAAACGCCUUUAUUAUAAAAAAUAAAUAAAUGACACAAGUUAUGCUUUCAAUUAUUUUAUUCGUUAAUUUUUAUUUUUAUAAUGUAUUAAAAAAUAGAAUUAUACCACUACAGGGGAUUGGAUUUAACAAGUCCUACAAAUUUUAGGAAACUUUCUAAGACGGGAAUUAAUCAGGGGAUUCCGUAGAAAUUACAUGUGAUUACAAAACAAAUAUGUUAAAGAAUGAUAAUUUUUUUAAUUAGAGCAUCUGAUAACUCCCUCUACAAUGAUAUUAUUAUAAAGUUUUCGUAGUCGCUGUUAACUACGCCAUUGCUACGCGAGGGAGCAUAUGUGACUCGCACCGAGAUUAGCUGAGAUAUUUUAUUAUCGCCGAAAAUACACAAGAAUGAACUUUCCUCCGGUCGUUCACUGACUCUUUGCCUCAUCAGCUAGGUAAUGUUUUUAUGGAUAUAACAGCGCAAAUCCCGUGUUAAUCAUAUGAUUCGGAAAGUCCAACCUGAUAAUUCUAUAAGUAUAUUAUCCGGCUUUUAAACAACGCGACGGAUGCAAGUUUGAGGAAACAACAUGAGUAGGACGCUUCAUAUUACGCGAUUGUGCAUGAUAAUGCACAUUGUAUCGGCCCUUUCUUUUGUCAUAAUAUGUCAUUUUCUUUCUCAUUAUUAUCUUUAUAAUUAACAUUGUAAUUAUAUAAUUAACAUUAUAACAAUAUAUAUAUAUAAAUCGUUUAACUUUAGUGAUGAUCUCAGUUAUUUCUAAAUUUUUAAAUGUCUUUCAAAUGCAAACUUAUAUAUAGAUUUUAAAAGUAAUAUGAUUACGUAUAAAUUGAAGGCAUCGGUAAAGCUUCUUGGCUUCGUUUUUUAAAUAUCCCUUUUUAUUUAAAAAUAACUGAUGCUUUGAUAUACAACAUUCUAAAAAUAUAUUACAUGAAAUAUAUUGAUACAUUUGCACCAUUUGCGAAAUACGAUGCGUUGCUACGGAAGGAAAGAAAUUAUAUUAUAUAGUCGCAUAUAUUAGUCUUAUGAUGCCAUCGGGAGAAGGAGAGGGAUAUGUUCAUUCGUCUAAUAUAUGCUAUUAUCGUUACAUGCUUAUUGUCUAGUUGUGUAUUACAUUAUUCUUAUUUUUUUUUAAACAUUUUCACGUGAUAUCGCUUAUAUCAUAUAUAACAAAGGCACUAUAUAUCCGCCAUAAGAUCCUUAUGGUUUUAUCUAUCUAGUCUUACGCUCGAACGAUAUAUAAGAAUAUACGUCUAAUCUUACAUAUAAAUUCCCGUUUAUAUAUAUAUAUGUAUGUAUAUCUAUAUAUACAGAUACAACAAUAUUUUCUGCAAUUUGGUAUUGUCUUAGAUGUCGAUUCGCAAGACUCGUUAGUAAAGUCCUCUUUGGUAAAAAAAA